CAAAAUGGAGAGUUUGAUCCUGGCUCAGGAUGAACGCUGGCGGUAUGCUUAACACAUGCAAGUCGAACGGUCUUUUAGGAGACAGUGGCGGACGGGUGAGUAACGCGUAAGAAUCUACCUUCAGGUUGGGGACAACCACUGGAAACGGUGGCUAAUACCGAAUGUGCCGAGAGGUGAAAGGCUUGCUGCCUGAAGAAGAGCUUGCGUCUGAUUAGCUAGUUGGUAGUGUAAGAGACUACCAAGGCGACGAUCAGUAGCUGGUCUGAGAGGAUGAUCAGCCACACUGGGACUGAGACACG
rnacentral:rRNA from 1 species